CCCGACCGCUAUCGGGGUGGGGCUAAGCCAUGCGAGUCGUACGCCUGGGGACCGCCAGGCGUGGCGCACGGCUCAGUAACACGUGCCUAACCUACCCUCGGGAGGGGGACAACCCCGGGAAACUGGGGCCAAUCCCCCAUAGGAGAAGGGUGCUGGAAAGCCCCUUCUCCGAAAGGGACUGCGGCCGAUCCGCCGCAGUCUGCCCGAGGAUGGGGGCACGGCCCAUCAUGGUAGUUGGCGGGGUAAUGGCCCGCCAAGCCGAAGACGGGUGGGGGCCGUGAGAGCGGGAGCCCCGAGAUGGGCACUGAGACAAGGGCCCAGGCCCUACGGGGUGCAGCAGGCGCGAAAACUCCGCAAUGCGGGAAACCGUGACGGGGCCACCCCGAGUGCCGCCCGAAGAGGGCGGCUUUUGCCCGGUGCAAAAAGCCGGGCGAAUAAGCGGGGGGCAAGCCUGGUGUCAGCCGCCGCGGUAAUACCAGCUCCGCGAGUGGUCGGGGUGCUUACUGGGCCUAAAGCGCCCGUAGCCGGCCCGGUAAGUCGUCCCUGAAAUCCACGGGCUCAACCCGUGGGCUGGGGACGAUACUGCCGGGCUUGGGGGCGGGAGAGGCCGAGGGUACUCCCGGGGUAGGGGCGAAAUCCGAUAAUCCCGGGAGGACCACCAGUGGCGAAGGCGCUCGGCUGGAACGCGCCCGACGUGAGGGGCGAAAGCUGGGGGAGCAAAGGGGAUUAGAUACCCCUGUAGUCCCACUGUAAAC
rnacentral:rRNA from 1 species